UACGUAGGGUGCGAGCGUUGUCCGGAAUUAUUGGGCGUAAAGGGCUCGUAGGCGGUUUGUCGCGUCGGGAGUGAAAUCCACUGGCUUAACUGGUGGCUUGCUUUCGAUACGGGCAGACUGGAGGUAUGCAGGGGAGAACGGAAUUCCUGGUGUAGCGGUGAAAUGCGUAGAUAUCUGGAGGAACACCGGUGGCGAAGGCGGCAUCCUGGACCGACACUGACACUGAGGAGCGAAAGCCAGGGGAGCAAACGGG
rnacentral:rRNA from 1 species